rnacentral:rRNA from 1 species
UCCAGACUCCUACGGGAGGCAGCAGUGGGGGAUAUUGCACAAUGGGGGAAACCCUGAUGCAGCGAUGCCGCGUGAAUGAAGACGGCCUUCGGGUUGUAAAGUUCUGUCGCAGGGGACGAAAAUGACGGUACCCUGCAAGAAAGCUCCGGCUAACUACGUGCCAGCAGCCGCGGUAAUACGGAGGGUGCAAGCGUUAAUCGGAAUUACUGGGCGUAAAGCGCACGCAGGCGGUUGAUUGAGUCAGAUGUGAAAUCCCCGGGCUUAACCCGGGAAUUGCAUCUGAUACUGGUCAGCUAGAGUCUUGUAGAGGGGGGUAGAAUUCCAUGUGUAGCGGUGAAAUGCGUAGAGAUGUGGAGGAAUACCGGUGGCGAAGGCGGCCCCCUGGACAAAGACUGACACUCAGGUGCGAAAGCGUGGGGAGCAAACAGGAUUAGAUACCCCAGUA